UGAGCUAUAUCCCCCCGAGCCGAGUGAAGCAUGCAUCUCCGGGUCAGGCGCCGAUGAGCACAUUGAACUAUCC
rnacentral:tRNA from 3 species